rfam:Ketogulonicigenium vulgare Y25, complete genome.
CAUCCCCCACAACGGCUUCCUGACGUGGCGGGUAAGAUUGAAAUGGAGCA